rfam:Mesocricetus auratus contig197581, whole genome shotgun sequence.
GGGUCUAUGAUGACAAACCUACUUCCUGAAGAGAGGUGAUGACAUAAAAAUCAAUCUCGGGUUGUGGUUGCUGAGGCCC